rnacentral:lncRNA from 1 species
GGGUGGGGACAGUGAUGUCAUAAUGGAACCUCAGGGUAAAACAAGAGAUUGAAAAGCUUCCCAAGGCGCCAACCUUCAAGAUUUAAAGGGAAGUAGGGCUGAUUUAGCUCUGUUCUGGUUCUGUUUCUGCUCAGCAUUCUCAGGUCUAAGAUUCCUGGGUUGGCUUCUGAGAGGGAGGAGACAGCCACCACAGCAAGAACAGCACCAGGAGUUUUAGAUUAAAAAUGGAAAGCAGAGAGUAGACUUGCUCUUUCAGCUCUUGUCCUGAAAGCAGCUGUCAAGAAGGCAACUGGGUGGAAGGAACAGGGAGGGCUGGAGAAAGCUGGCCAGUUGGCUGAAGGGGAGAGAGCAGGACUGGAGUCAGGACCUGGCAGAGAAAGACUGGUAGGGGAUGUGGGCACCUUGUGUGGCAAUGAGGUGAGCUCAGGAAGAGAAGAUGGCUGAGUGUAUUUGUCUACUGAGCUGUAAGGAGCUGACCUGCUGAACAGGGGAUGAGGCCUGUGGGCUGAGGACUGCCUGGCUCAGAACGGUGGAGGGAGAAGGUCAAGAGGAGGAGGGGAGCCAUCAGAGCUAACUGCCCGUCACCUGCUUGCCUUCAGAAGAUGUGCCUUCCGGGACCUGGUGGAGAGCAGAUGCCAGUGAGGUGCCUGUGGAGAGAAGGAAGCGUUUUCAUGUUCAGCCACACUUCUGCGGUCAUGCAAUUGGGUAACAGGGAAGAGGAAGAUGAUGAUGGCGGUGGUGGGGCUCCCUGUGAGUCUUGACCUGAACACUUUACCGUUGACCUUGCCUCUGGAACCUUCCCUGGUGGGGGCUCAUCAGGGCUGACAGGUUUGUGCUGGUCUCUGAGUGAGGCAACAGUGAAGCAAGACUUAAAUUUUGCUUUCAAGUUCUAUUUCUAGGGGUCCUCUGGGAGUGAUUUGUGUCCUUGGUUUCCUAGGACCUUCAGCAUGUAGGAGAUGGCUCAUGGGGCAGGAGU